rnacentral:lncRNA from 1 species
UCUACGUGUAUAUUUAAGUAAUCUUUUAACAUAAUUAUGUGAUUUGAUUAAUUAAAAUUUGAUUGACAUGCCUGACAACACAGGGAGAAAGUGCAGAGAAUUUAAUUCGCAAGCACUAUAUUUGACCCUGUAACUCUCCAAGACACCACAAAACCUGUACAUAGGGGGUACUGUUUUACUCGGGAGACUUCGCUAAACUCAAAUAUUAGUGUUUCAAACUGG